GUGCUCUCUUCGGCAGCACAUAUGCUAAAAUGGGAACGACCCGGAGAAGAUUAGCACGGCCCUGUAGCAAGGAUGACCCACAAAUUCGUGAAGCAUUCCAUAUUAAA